GAUGAACGCUGGCGGCGUGCCUAAUACAUGCAAGUCGAGCGAACGGACGAGAAGCUUGCUUCUCUGAUGUUAGCGGCGGACGGGUGAGUAACACGUGGAUAACCUACCUAUAAGACUGGGAUACCUUCGGGAAACCGGAGCUAAUACCGGAUAAUAUUUUGAACCUCAUGGUUCAUCAGUGAAAGACGGUCUUGCUGUCACUUAUAGAUGGAUCCUCGCUGCAUUAGCUAGUUGGUAAGGUAACGGCUUACCAAGGCAACGAUGCAUAGCCGACCUGAGAGGGUGAUCGGCCACACUGGAACUGAGACACGGUCCAGACUCCUACGGGAGGCAGCAGUAGGGAAUCUUCCGCAAUGGGCGAAAGCCUGACGGAGCAACGCCGCGUGAGUGAUGAAGGUCUUCGGAUCGUAAAACUCUGUUAUUAGGGAAGAACAUAUGUGUAAGUAACUGUGCACAUCUUGACGGUACCUAAUCAGAAAGCCACGGCUAACUACGUG
rnacentral:rRNA from 1 species